UAGGGAAUCUUCCGCAAUGGACGCAAGUCUGACGGAGCAACGCCGCGUGAGUGAAGAAGGAUUUCGGUUCGUAAAACUCUGUUGUUAGAGAAGAACAGCGCAUAGAGUAACUGUUAUGCGUGUGACGGUAUCUAACCAGAAAGCCACGGCUAACUACGUGCCAGCAGCCGCGGUAAUACGUAGGUGGCAAGCGUUGUCCGGAUUUACUGGGCGUAAAGCGAGCGCAGGCGGUCAAUUAAGUUUGAUGUGAAAGCCCCCGGCUCAACCGGGGAGGGACAUUGAAAACUGGUUGACUUGAGUGCAGAAGUGGGGAGGGGAUUUCCUAGGGAAGCGGUGAAAUGCGUAGAUAAGUGGGGAAACACCAGUGGCGAUGGCGACUCUCUGGUCUGUAACUGACGCUGAGGUUCAAAAGCGUGGGUAGCAAACGGG
rnacentral:rRNA from 1 species